UUUGUCAUAUCUUGCUUAGUUCUCGAAAUAUUUAGACCGAAAUUAAUGAGCUGUCUGCCAUCUUGGACCAAUUAUUGACCUCAUUAACUAUGGUUUUUAUGACGUCAGAGUUGGGUUAACCAUGUAAAACUACUCUAGAAUGACCGAGUAACAAUCCAAAAUUGUUUGAAAUGUUUUUAAUCAUUUCUAAAUUUCAGACAGCAACCGGAAACGAAGUUU
rnacentral:lncRNA from 1 species